UACGGAGGAUUCGAGCGUUAUCCGGAUUUAUUGGGUUUAAAGGGAGCGUAGGCGGGUUGUUAAGUCAGUUGUGAAAGUUUGCGGCUCAACCGUAAAAUUGCAGUUGAUACUGGCAUCCUUGAGUACAGUAGAGGUAGGCGGAAUUCGUGGUGUAGCGGUGAAAUGCUUAGAUAUCACGAAGAACUCCGAUUGCGAAGGCAGCCUGCUGGACUGUAACUGACGCUGAUGCUCGAAAGCGUGGGGAGCAAAUAGG
rnacentral:rRNA from 1 species